rnacentral:snoRNA from 1 species
UGCAAAUGAUGUUUUCUCACGAUGGUCUUCCUAGCCUUCAGGGUGUUGACGAUAGUGCCUUAUGGCAAUGCUGAUGCAGUCAC